UACGUAGGUGGCAAGCGUUGUCCGGAUUUAUUGGGUUUAAAGGGUGCGUAGGUGGCCCUGUAAGUCAGUGGUGAAGUAUCUCAGCUUAACUGAGAGGGUGCCAUUGAUACUGCAGGGCUUGAGUACAGAUGAGGUAGGCGGAAUUGACGGUGUAGCGGUGAAAUGCAUAGAUAUCAAGAGGAACACCUGCGGCGAAGGCGGGUUGCUGGGCCGACACUGACGCUGAGGCGCGAAAGCUAGGGGAGCGAACGGG
rnacentral:rRNA from 1 species